AUCAUACUCCCUCCGUCCGGAAAUACUUGUCCUAGAAAUGGAUAAAAUAGAUGUAUCUAUAACUAAAAUAAGUCUAGAUACAACCAUUUCAAGGACAAGUAUUUCCGGAUGGAGGGAGUACUCA
rnacentral:pre_miRNA from 1 species